UACGUAGGGGGCAAGCGUUGCUCGGAAUCACUGGGCGUAAAGGGCGCGUAGGCGGGCACGGCAAGUCAGGAGUGAAAGCCCUGGGCUCAACCCGGGAACUGCUUUUGAAAACUGCCGAGCUAGAGUGCGGAAGGGGCAACUGGAAUUCCCGGUGUAGUGGUGGAAUGCGUAGAUAUCGGGAGGAACACCAGUGGCGAAGGCGGUUGCCUGGAGCUUUGCUGACGCUGAGGCGCGAAAGCGUGGGGAGCGAGUCCGG
rnacentral:rRNA from 1 species